UUAAUUUUAGUCCCUGGCCAAAUUGGUCCUAGAUUUGUACACAUAUGGGUCGAUGUAUUAGACACGUUGUUGCACUGUAGACCAUUCCACCGUUUCUCUAACUUAAAUCAAUUGUUGCACCACCAUAGACAUAAUUCACUACCUUUCUCCUACCCUCAAAAGGCUUCCUUCUGAUGCCGAUGAGUUCAUUGCCAACGUUCAAAUCGUAUUCAGAACUGGAAUCGAAAGGGAAAACCCAUCACAGUGUCCGCUCCUUUCCUCCGACCAUUCGACUCCACUGCCUUCACCGCUCUCUCGACAUAAACCCUACCCUUCCUUUUUCGCUCUUUCGCCUCCUUGAAUCAAUGGAACUUAGGUCGCAGGACAGACACCUUCUGCCAUUACAUGAUUUCACACACUAUCUCUAUUUAUGUGUUUUCCCUUUAAUUGGUUCCUUUAUUUAUUUCGAUCCUGUUUACAAUUCUGUUGUAGUUGUCUUCAAUGGUCGUAACUCCAACUCCCUGAAGAUCAUCUUUAAUAAUGAAUCGUUUCUCUAAAAUCCCAGGUAAAAGUUCUUUGUAUUUAAACUGGAAAAUCUUCUUCUCCAUAAACCUAGGCGAUGUUUAAUUUGCAUAAAAUCACACCACCGCCAACGACUUCCUGAUCCGUUCUUCCCACCGCUCCAACUUCAGGAACCCUAGAUGCAUGUUCAUGUUUCUGCUUUAAAUUGAUGGUGCAGGUUGACGAUUAAAAUCAAUAUUCUUUUUUUUUGUUAAUUUCUCCCACUUCUUUGUACCUCCUGCUUUUGAGUGUAUUCACAUCUUCAAAAUCACCGUUCCAAAAUUCCUGAAGCUUCGCCGGAAACUUGGCAUGCUGGUCCUUUGUUUAAGCCGGACUCCAUGGAUUUCUACAAUCUUGAACUCACCAAUACUAAUGUGGUGGAUCAUACAACCCAUGAUUUCAAGAAGGAAAACGCAAUUGUAUUUGUAAUAGUGCUCUGUCAAAUUUUUCCUGACCACAAUCAUAACAAACUUCUUUUUUAAAAUGAAUCAAGAAAUCCAAAAGUUUUUUUUCUUCACUUCAUGUAUUAUUUCUUUUUCCGUCUUAUUCCAUCUUUGAUUGAAUAAACUUGUUUCUAAUAAGGCCCCUUUUUUUUGCCUAUUACCUGUUUGAUAAAAUGCCACAACUAAUGAAAAAAAUCUGAAGGUUAGCAGGCGGAGGAUAAAAUUAUACAACCUUCUUACCACAUAUUGGAGCUCUAUCAGCAGAUACAUAUCUUUUGGAGGAGGUAAAUUAAAUUAUAUAUUUUUUGGUCAACAUGUGCUGAAGGGAAACAUUUUCAUUUUGAUGAAAAGUGAAAACUACUUCAAUGGUUUAUUGUAGGCUACUCAAUUUAUCACUCAAUGUAUGAUGACUCUGUAUGGAUGAGCGAAUUUGGUUAUCCAAUGUUUUCAAAGACAUGUUGCUGGCAUGUUUUAAGUUUUAACAUUAUUUAUAUGUUAUUUCAUUAUAAUUAAUUAUACAACUUAUUAUUUACAAAACUAAAAACUAAACAUAGAAUGACAGCAACGAGCAUUUGGGGUUUACUAGCUCUACAGCCUACAGAUGCGAAGAUUUUUCCUUUUAGUCAUGAGUCCUAUGUAUAUGAGCUUCAUGUAUGUUCAUAGAUCAUUUUUUUAAAAUAUCUGGUGGGAUUAAUCUUUCACUCGUUCUCCAGAUUUUCCCAUUUUUUUAACUAUAUAUAUAUAUAUAUAUAUAUAUAUUGUUUUUAUAAGGAUUCAUGGGUUCAGGUGGGAGGUGCAGUUAACAAUCUGAAGGUAUUAAUCUUUCACUUAUUCUCCAAAUUUUAAAUGGGUUUUGACCAUGUGAUAAAACAUGUUAAAGUGCAAUCCUGGAUUUGAAGGUCUCUAACAAACACCAUUCGUAUCAAAGUAAUUUCCUAUAUAGCAUGUUCCUUUCAUUUCUAUUUUGUUAAACCUUUUAGGUUUACUUUAUUUUUUUCUUAUAAAACUGUUGUAUUUUAAACGUAUAUUACUAUAAUUUUAUUUGUAAUUUUUUGAUUCUUAGUUUCUUUAGUAUUUCUACAUAAUUUAUUUUAUUUUUACCUAAUUAAAGCAUGGUAUUGAAAGUACAAGGUUGUGAUUGGUGGUUGAUUUAAAAAUACAGCAAAUUUAACAUUUAUGAGUACGUAUGUUUGUUAUGUACACAAAACCGACUUACUUUGGAAAUUAGUUGUUUGUCAUUUAUCCCCAGAUUCUUCAAAAAAAAAGAUACAUUCAUCAAUUAUUGACUUAAAUUGAAAAUGUUAUUGACCUGCUUAAGUUUCCAUUUUCUCCGUAUUUUAUCAUGAUAACAAACACUACCUUGUUAUACAUGUUUAUGUUGAUGUAAUUGAUGUGUAGGUUCUUUUGUAUAAAGUGCCCACCUUAACUAUUGAUGUAAUCCCAGGGAUAGCGCAACAUGAAAUAUUGAACAAUAGAAGGCAUGUCCUGACCAAGGAUAACGAUGCUUCUGUGAAGCUUUGGGGGAUCACUAAAGGUGUUGUGAUUGAGGACUACGGACAGGUCAGCAUUCCUACAUGGUUUGACUGCAGAUACUAGGCUUGGAAGCAUUGCUCGCAGCUUUAUAAAAGAUCCGAAAGUUCUCACAUUCAUUGAUCCUUAGGUGGGCUUACGAACAAAAUUAGAAACUUUCAGGGAUCAAACACAUGGACUGUUUUUGUAAUUUACUCUUUUGUUUAUAAUAUAUGAUGUUAUUGUUUGCAGAGGACAUGAUUUUAGCAAAAACGUGUUCAAUGAACAAACUGUUAUUGUUUGUGAUCAGGUAUAACUACAUUUGAAUUUAUAUGGGCAACGCAGACUUACCCUAGGUUGCUUUAGGUUUAUGAUCCACUAAUCAUUAUACAUCGUUAACGACAUUGUCAGUGUGAAAGAGAAUACCUUAUCAAGUGUCUAAAGGCACAAAAAAUGGCUGAUUUGGAGGCAUUACCAAAAGGGAAGUGGUUUUGUUUCACGGAUUGUGAGAGAAUUCAUUCUGUUUUGCAAAAUCUGCUAACUCUAGAACCAAGAUUGUUGAUGAUGACCUCUUGACUUUUGUGAGUAAAUAUAUAUAUUUAUUUAA